rnacentral:rRNA from 1 species
CAUGGAGGAAACUCUGAUGCUGCGAUGCCGCGUGAGUGAAGAAGGCCUUUGGGUUGUAAAGCUCUUUUGUAGGGGAAGAUAAAGACUGUACCCUAAGAAUAAGGUCCGGCUAACUUCGUGCCAGCAGCCGCGGUAAUACGAAGGGACCUAGCGUAGUUCGGAAUUACUGGGCGUAAAGCGCGCGUAGGCCGUUGAGUUAGUUAAUUGUGAAAUCCCAAAGCUUAACUUUGGAACUGCAAUUAAAACUGCUCGACUAGAGUUUGACAGAGGAAAGCGGAAUACAUAGUGUAGAGGUGAAAUUCGUAGAUAUUAUGUAGAACACCAGUUGCGAAGGCGGCUUUCUGGGUCAACACUGACGCUGAGGCGCGAAAGUAUGGGUAGCAAAGAGGAUUAGAUACCCUCGUAGUCCAUACCAUAAACGAUGAUUGCUAGAUGUUGGAAAUUUAUUUUCAGUAUCGCAGCUAACGCAUUAAGCAAUCCGCCUGGGGAGUACGACCGCAAGGUUAAAACUCAAAUGAAUUGACGGGGACCCGCACAAGCGGUGGAGCAUGUGGUUUAAUUCGAAGAUACGCGCAGAACCUUACCAACCCUUGACAUGUCUGUCGCGAGUUUAGGAA